CUGAUUUGAUUUUAUCUGACAAAGAGUGGCGAACGGGUGAGUAACACGUGGGUAACCUACCUCUUAGCAGGGGAUAACAUUUGGAAACAAGUGCUAAUACCGUAUAAUACCAACAACCGCAUGGUUGUUGGUUGAAAGGUGGUUCUGCUAUCACUAAGAGAUGGACCCGCGGUGCAUUAGCUAGUUGGUAAGGUAACGGCUUACCAAGGCAAUGAUGCAUAGCCGAGUUGAGAGACUGAUCGGCCACAAUGGGACUGAGACACGGCCCAUACUCCUACGGGAGGCAGCAGUAGGGAAUCUUCCACAAUGGGCGCAAGCCUGAUGGAGCAACGCCGCGUGUGUGAUGAAGGGUUUCGGCUCGUAAAACACUGUUAUAAGAGAAGAACGGCACUGAGAGUAACUGUUCAGUGUGUGACGGUAUCUUACCAGAAAGGAACGGCUAAAUACGUG
rnacentral:rRNA from 1 species